CCUACGGGCGACUGCAGUGGGGAAUAUUGGACAAUGGGGGAAACCCUGAUCCAGCAAUGCCGCGUGUGUGAAGAAGGCCUGCGGGUUGUAAAGCACUUUCGGUUGGGAAGAAAAGUUUGGCGCCAAUACCGCCGAACCUUGACGUUACUGACAGAAGAAGCACCGGCGAACUCUGUGCCAGCAGCCGCGGUAAUACAGAGGGAGCAAGCGGGAAUCGGAAUCACGGGGCGUAAAGUGCACGUAGGGGGUGAACUCCCCGGGCUUAACCUUGGAACUGCAUUCGAUACUACAUGGCUAGAGUAUGGUAGAGGGAAGUGGAAUUUCCGGUGUAGCGGUGAAAUGCGUAGAUAUCGGAAGGAACACCAAUGGCGAAGGCAGCUUCCUGGACUAAUACUGACACUGAGGCACGAAAGCGUGGGUAGCAAACAGGAUUAGAUACCCCUGUAGUC
rnacentral:rRNA from 1 species